AUAACGAAAAAGCGCUUGUAACUCCCGAUGCGGAAGGAAAAUGACUACGAAUUGAAGCGGUGCUCAAAGCAGGAAGGGGACUGCUUUUUCAGCCAGUGAAUGCGGUCUGGGCUGGACAUAAUUUCCAGGCAAGUAAACGAGCAUUGUCAUGUUGUGCCCCCUGUCCACAGUGAUGUGCCCCCCGUCUACAGUGGCAGUUGCACUGAUCUUCUCAACAUUGCCCCCUGGCUCGCAUGACUGGCAGAGCAGCAAGGAUGGCUCAUUCUCCCUAGCUAGCAGUUGCACUGAUCUUCUCAACAUUAUCCCCUGGCUGGUAUGACUGGCAGAGCAGCAAGGAUGGCUCGUUUUCCCUAGGUUACGUGAUGCUGCGCACGGAGUGAUGAUUUCAACUACCCAGCGAGGCAUGGGGAUCGUCUUUUUCUUUCAGCAGUGUUGCGAGUCUUUAUCUGGGUGGUGUUGUACCUGAAUGAGUUAAUAAAUGUUACGAGUCAGAGAGACAAUAUAUGAUGUUUUCAAGAAUUUGGCAAA